rnacentral:rRNA from 1 species
AUUGAACGCUGGCGGCAUGCCUUACACAUGCAAGUCGAACGGUAACAGGUUAAGCUGACGAGUGGCGAACGGGUGAGUAAUGUAUCGGAACGUGCCCAGUCGUGGGGGAUAACUGCUCGAAAGAGCAGCUAAUACCGCAUACGACCUGAGGGUGAAAGCGGGGGAUCGCAAGACCUCGCGCGAUUGGAGCGGCCGCUAUCAGAUUAGGUAGUUGGUGAGGUAAAGGCUCACCAAGCCGACGAUCUGUAGCUGGUCUGAGAGGACGACCAGCCACACUGGGACUGAGACACGGCCCAGACUCCUACGGGAGGCAGCAGUGGGGAAUAUUGGACAAUGGGCGCAAGCCUGAUCCAGCCAUGCCGCGUGCGGGAAGAAGGCCUUCGGGUUGUAAAGCGCUUUUGUCAGGGAAGAAAAGGUUCUGGCUAAUACCUGGGACUCAUGACGGUACCUGAAGAAUAAGCACCGGCUAACUACGUG